rnacentral:rRNA from 1 species
CCUACGGGAGGCAGCAGUAGGGAAUUUUUCACAAUGGGCGAAAGCCUGAUGGAGCAACGCCGCGUGCAGGCUGAAGGCCUUCGGGUUGUAAACUGCUUUUAUAAGCGAGAAAUAUGAUGGUAACUUAUGAUUAAGGAUCGGCUAACUACGUGCCAGCAGCCGCGGUCAUACGUAGGAUCCGCGCAUUAUCCGGAGUGACUGGGUGUAAGGAGUUGCGUAGGUGGCAUAAUAAGUAGCUAGUGAAAUCUGGUGGCUCAACCAUUCAGACUAUUAGCUAAACUGUUAAGCUCGAGACCGUUAGGGGUAACUGGAAGUUCUAGUGUAGGAGUGAAAUCCGUAGAUAUUAGAAAGAACACCGAUAGCGUAGGCAGGUUACUGGGACGGUUCUGACACUAAGGCACGAAAGCGUAGGGAGCAAACGGGAUUAGAUACCCGUGUAGUC